GAUGAAGAACGUAGCGAAAUGCGAUAAGUAAUGUGAAUUGCAGAAUUCAGUGAAUCAUCGAGUCUUUGAACGCACAUUGCGCCCCCUGGUAUUCCGGGGGGCAUGCCUGUCCGAGCGUCAUUGCUGCCCUCAAGCACGGCUUGUGUGUUGGGCCCCCGUCCCCGGUUUCCCCCGGGGACGGGCCCGAAAGGCAGCGGCGGCACCGCGUCCGGUCCUCGAGCGUAUGGGGCUUUAUCACCCGCUCUGUAGGCCCGGCCGGCGCCAGCCGACACCCAACUUUAUUUCUAAGGUUGACCUCGGAUCAGGUAGGGAUACCCGCUGAACUUAAGCAUAUCAAUAAGCGGAGGA
rnacentral:misc_RNA from 1 species